rnacentral:lncRNA from 1 species
CUGACCAUGCACCCCUGCAUCUUCCUGCUGGGCCACAGGCGAGCGCUUUAUUUCUGGAGCUGAGGGCUAAAACUUUUUUGACUUUUCUUCUCCUCAACAUCUGAAUCAUGCCAUGUGCCCAGAGGAGCUGGCUUGCAAACCUUUCCGUGGUGGCUCAGCUCCUUAACUUUGGGGCGCUUUGCUAUGGGAGACAGCCUCAGCCAGGCCCGGUUCGCUUCCCGGACAGGAGGCAAGUAUGCACGUGAGGAGAGGCUUAAAGGCCAG